UACGUAGGUGGCAAGCGUUGUCCGGAAUUACUGGGUGUAAAGGGAGCGUAGACGGCGAUGCAAGUCUGAAGUGAAAGGCGGGGGCCCAACCCCCGGACUGCUUUGGAAACUGUAUGGCUGGAGUGCAGGAGAGGUAAGUGGAAUUCCUAGUGUAGCGGUGAAAUGCGUAGAUAUUAGGAGGAACACCAGUGGCGAAGGCGGCUUACUGGACUGUAACUGACGCUGAGGCUCGAAAGUGUGGGGAGCAAACAGG
rnacentral:rRNA from 1 species